rnacentral:rRNA from 1 species
AGUGAACGCUGGCGGUAGGCCUAACACAUGCAAGUCGAACGGCAGCACAGUAAGAGCUUGCUCUUACGGGUGGCGAGUGGCGGACGGGUGAGGAAUACAUCGGAAUCUACUUUUUCGUGGGGGAUAACGUAGGGAAACUUACGCUAAUACCGCAUACGACCUACGGGUGAAAGCAGGGGAUCUUCGGACCUUGCGCGAUUGAAUGAGCCGAUGUCGGAUUAGCUAGUUGGCGGGGUAAAGGCCCACCAAGGCGACGAUCCGUAGCUGGUCUGAGAGGAUAAUCAGCCACACUGGAACUGAGACACGGUCCAGACUCCUACGGGAGGCAGCAGUGGGGAAUAUUGGACAAUGGGCGCAAGCCUGAUCCAGCCAUACCGCGUGGGUGAAGAAGGCCUUCGGGUUGUAAAGCCCUUUUGUUAGGAAAGAAAAGCAGCAGGUUAAUACCCCGCUGUUCUGACGGUACCCAAAGAAUAAGCACCGGCUAACUUCGUG